GGUGCACAAGGUGAUGAUGCAGUCUUUGUGAUCAUGUCACAAGGUAGUCUUUGUGAUCACAUGGGACUUUCUCAGGUAUAGCAAAAAUCUGCUGAUUUGCUACAGCCUAAGUUACAUCUCCACUACUGUAUGGUGUUUCCCUGUUACAGAUCCUCUGGCUUCUAGUAUCCAUCUGGUUGCUCAGACAUUGAGUUCAUCCUAGGCAGGGGUCGGGGACCUGUAUCCUCUACAUGUUGCUGAUCCCCUACACAAGCAUUUACUGUGUACGCUCGUGAGCAUAUUUUCUAGAGCCGUACUCAUACUGCAACGUCAGAGUUGAGCAGCCAUGACAAAGACCACAAAGACAUCGAAGUCCAAGACAAAUAAUUGUUAGGUUUUUUUAGAGAAAAUGAUCUCUCAGCCACUCCCUUUAUUUGAAGGUAAUUGAUGUUCCUGAUUUUCUUGAAGGUUUUUCUUUUCACUUUUUAUUCAUUU
rnacentral:lncRNA from 1 species